GGGUCACCAUGGUAACUUAUGAUGAGGUUCAAAAUAAGGGAUCAAAGUCAGUCAGUCCAGCUACUGACCAAUGGGAUCACUGGAAACCAGAGUCAUCAUUCCACACUAUGUAUUCUGACUGGGACAAAAGAGUUUAGAGUAACGUGAAGAACAAUAAAGCAAAGCAGAUAUUGAGCUCUACCCACUUUUUGAACGGUUCCAGAAGGGAAUUUCUGACUCACCGACUCCAUUGACAUUCCAUAAAAUCCUUAUAUAAAAAGUUUCAAGUCUGGAACCAAGCCUACAAACCAGGAGAUGAAUCAUUACAAUGAAACAUUUUAUUCAGAACAAAAAAAAAAUUGUGAAAACGGGAAGUAGGCAAAGACGUCGCCCUGACCUUCCUGCCGGGGGCAGGGGCAGCAGACCCGGAUGUAAUCAGUACCCCGAACUCACCGUUGUCCAGCACACGUGUAACCACCAGGUUGGGGUAACUUCUCUGAGACAAAGCCCCGUGGUCCAUUCAGAAGUCCUCUUCAGAAUCAGCCUUCCGGGGAAACGGAGGCCACACUGAUGGCCUGGCUCAGAGAUGUGAUGAGGGAGGUGAGGCCAAUGAGGUAGCCAUCCUCUCUGCUACCCUCAGUCCACGGGAUGUUGUGUCGGAGCUUGAUCGUGUCAUGCACGGGGGUCGUCUUCCCAAAGUCUAUCAUCCACACACUGGCCUUGCUGCUAUGUUCGUGGACAAAGAGAAGCGAGCUGCCAAUCACCUGAUCAGGUCAAACGUGAAAAAAUAAAAAUAGUAGAUUCAUUAUGAAGCAUGGUUCAAUUUGAGUGAGGUGAAAAUAAACUAGAUCAGGAAAAAGA